ensembl:lncRNA
UGAAGAUGUUAAGAUUUUAAUUGGGAGUGAUGAUAAUGGACAGGAUUAGGAAUGAGUACAUCACACGGACAACUCAGGUUUGGAGACAAAGUUAGAGAGGUGAGGCUGAAAUAGUUUGGGCAUGUGCAGAGAAGGGACAGCUGGAUGUUGAAGAUGAAGCUGCCAGGAAGGAGGAAAAAAGGAAGACCUCAGAAUGAAACAAAUUUCCCACGUGUGGGACUAAUAAAGGUUAUCUUAUCUUAUCUUAUGUAGUGAAGGGGGACAUGCAGAGGGCUGCUGAGGUGACCCCUGAAGGGAGAAGCCAGAAGAUAAUUUUCCUGUGAGUAUGUAAGUAACGUUCACAGAUUUAUGUUCUGUAUUGUUUUACGUAUGUUAGAUCUUUCUGUGUUAAGGAAGCUAUAAAACCACCUCCCACACUCUGCUCCACCAAGCAUGGCCUCCUGACUGCAGGAACUUCACACAGUCACACAGAAACAAACUAGUUUUCUUAUUUAAUCUGUGUUUAGUUGAUAAUGUUGUAACCUGACUGUUGGAGGCAGUCAGAAGAUUCGCAUGUUAGAACUCUAUAUUUGUUUUUACUUGACUAAUUAAAAAAAAAAAACUUCUUGAGGAUGUUGAGGAUUCAUUUUCACUGUAGUUUUUUACUCAGAGGGGUGUGCACCCAGCACGUGACAACCUUUACAAGUCAGAAAAUCUCAGCGUGGAGCUCGGAGACCAAGGGGAGGAUUUUAACAGCUGCUCUCGCUUUGAAGUCGUCUUCCUGCUUCGAGGUGAAGAACAAUAAAUAGGGUGAGGCUGUCCACAGAGACUCACAAGAGUGUGAAACAAAGAGGAAAGACACAUUAUGACUGAGCUGCGGUGGAUCUCAGAGCUUCUGUAACUGAACGGACAAUGAAGGCGAGGCCGGCCUGGAUUCUUAUUUUCUUUCAGCUGUUCGAAGCCAACGCAGAGGUGAUCUUAAAACGUCUGACGGAGGGUCAGGCUGUGGUGAUCUCCUGCUCCCCUUGGCAGGCCCACGGAGGCCUGACGGGCCUCCACCUGUACCACCGCGGUGUCCAGAGCCAGACAACCCUGGUGUCCGUGACUGAGGCCGGUGAGGUCACGGUCGCCACGGAUCACAGAGCUCGCCUGGUGCUCCGUGGAGACCUGAGCUCCAUGAAGGUCAACGUGACCAUUUCUCGCUUAGAGCUGAGCGACACAGGGCUGUACAUGUGGGAUCUGAGCUACAGAGACACUAACAGCUCUGAUCAGAUGAUCCUCUGCGCUCAGAAGACCUUCGUGCUGGUUGAGGUGGCAGGGAGGCCGUGCCACUGCUCUCCUGGUUACGCCCCUCUACUCUGGACCAUCUUCACAGCAGCAGGGCUUCUUCUGCUGACCCUCACCUGGCUGGCCAUCCAGAAAUGUGUGAAGUUAAGGUCUCAUCGCAAACCACAACCUCAUGCUCCAAUCUAUGAGGAAAUGGGCAGGAAGCAGCAGCACCAGAGCCCCAGAGGCCCCCAGAAUAACCACGAGGCCCCCUCGCACCUGGAGGAAGUCAACUUCCCCGUGUACGCUAACCCAAACAUCCGACAGCUUCAGGACAACUACUACGCCUGUCCCAGACAGCUCAAACUGAGAGACUGACACCAUCGGGCCAACGGUGCUGCGAGCAGUAACAGGAAAUAACAGACGCCUUUGCAAAAAUACAAGCGCUGCACACGCUCUGAUGGUGAUUUGCAUUCAGGAUACAAAAGGAUGAAGAAAUAGCACGAACCUCCACUGAGGCGACUCACUCUCUGAGCAGUAUUCACUUUUAAAAUUGUAUUUUGUACACAUGCAUUUAGUUUACUUUGUUCUUUUUAAACAUAAUUUAAGAAGUUUUUCUCUGUUCAAAACCCUUUUUAUAUAUGUGAUCAAACAUUUGAGUGGUGAUACUUAAAAAUGGUUAGUGAUACUUGUAACUCAUUUUGGCUCAACUUGAAAGAAAGGCAGACGUGAAAAGUAAAAAUGAGGUCAGAGGUCACAUGUGACAUUUAGAAUUCCUGCACACCAUUAUCAGUUAGCAAAACAAAAAUAGCUCUUUAUAACAUUAUUAUCACUUUUAUCUUCAGCUAAAUCUACUGAGCUUGAAGGAGCAGUCAAGCUGACAUUUUAAAUCCUUAUACCAGGGGUGUCGUUAUAUGGCUUGGGGGCCAGAAACAGCCAGGUAGAGAAGACCUCCCCCAUGACCAGUCACACUACACCAAAGUAAUUAAGUAAUAUAUAAACAAAGUAACAGUCUUUUCACCAUCUACUCUUCCAUUUCCAUUAACUACAGCAGCAUUUCUUCAUCACAAACUCUGAUGUUCUGCUGAAAUUGCACUUUUUUUCCUUACAUCUGGGAGAUUCAGUGUGUGGUUAAACUUCUUCACAAUGACAGAAAUGAGUUAAACAUCGCUGUUUACACGAUAAAUUUUUACGCUGAUAACACACCACACUUGUAAGAAUCAUAGUGUCUGAGUCAGAAGGCUUUUUGUCAAUUUUAGACCAAUAAAUCAUUGAGUCGACCUUAAAGACCUCGAUGGACUGUUAACCCGACCCCGCUCUACACUCUGUGGAAAGUCUUUGAGCUAUCGUGUUUACAGACAGGACAACACACAUUAAACCUUCUUGGUGGAAGCAAUACAUGAGAAGGGGACGGCUUUAACAGCCAAGUAACAAAAAAAUGCUAUUUUUAUUAAUAUUUGAAAGAAGCUCCAUAGUUCAUGAAAACAUUUGUUUCGGUGCAUGUCAUUUAACAAUCACAUUCUAUGAGGAGUAAGAGAUAUACAGAGAGAAACAAAAUAAAAACAAAACAUUACAAGCCACUGACUUCUCAUUAACUCUCAGUACAGACGUUUUUACUUAAUAAUUCAAACAAAAGAAAAAAAAAAAAGCAGCCCUAAUCCCAUAACUUUCCCACCCACCCUCUGUAAAACCUUAACCGAGGAGAAAAACAAACAAAAACAACAACAACAACAAAAAAAACCCUUGGAGGGUGACAGGCUAGAAUCCCACAGUGCUAAAGAGUGAGACGCUCAUUGGUUUUUAGGAAUACACAGCAUGGUGAUGUAGCGCUAGGCCAAUCUGAAUCAGAGGGUGGGGGGAGGAAGCUGGAGAUGGAGGUCUCCAACCCCUCUCUGCCCUCUUUAUCAAAGAAAAAAACAAAACAACUCAAACAAAUAAAAACACAUUGGAUCCCCAAAACCCCUGCAAUAGAUCAGCCACCUACAGCAAGUAGGCCAUAAAAUCCCCACCUUCACCCCUCCCACCCCAAACACUUGUGCAUAGUUUCAUGAUCCUUUUACAACCAGCUCACGUUUUACAAACAUCCUCCAAGCUGUGAAAAAUGCUCCACAAAAAGAAAGAAAACAAAAUUCAUCUAUUAUUAACAUUAAUACCCGCUGUGGGAGAAUGAGAGCGAGAGAGAGACACAGAGAGAGAGAGAGAGAGAGAGAGAAAGAGAUUAAUGCACAAUGUUUCCUGAAUCAGUCAGGACGGGACCUCAUUAAGAAAACACAAUAAAGAUUCAAACAUACAGCAUUUUGCAUGUUAUUCACCAUCUUUUUUUUUUCUUAAACAAACUCAGACCAUUUUUGUUUUUGUUUUUUCCAUGUAAAGCAAUUUUAAUAUAUAGAUUUAUAUAUAAAGCACUCCAUUUUUAUUUUAAAGUCCAUUAUUUGGUUAUUAUGUAACUGCUACGGAUUUAGAAACAAAAGGUAUUCUCUCUUCUUCUGAAAUCCAUAACUUUCAGUGCUUAGAAUUGUUUCUUUUAAGUCAUCCUUUGUUUUUUUUUGUUUUGUUUUUUUCUUUAAACUCAUAAAAAUGUACAUUAAAAUGGCGUGGAGUUGGUACUCUGGAACCCUGGCCUUCCUGAGACAAGAUCCACUUUUUCGUGUGUGUGCAAGAUAGUGAGCAAUUAUGUCUUUUUUUGUCUUCUUUUCUGUUUUUUUUAUAUAAAAGGAAAAAAAUAUAUAUAAUCAACAUAAAACAAACAGGCUUCAGAUAGUCCAUGAACAACAUUAACACAGAAUAAAGAAGGUUAAACAUAACAAGACAACACUGUUCAAUCCCAGAGUUCUGAAAGUAGCACAAUAAAAUCUUCAUUCUGUGAAGUGUUGCACUUUUUCUUAAAAAUGGAAGCAUUUGUCCUUUUUUUUAAAAUCUUUUUUAAAUUUUUUUUUUAGUUUCCCCACAUGGUUUCAUUCCUUUGUUUUGCUGAUUUGUUUCUGAACUCCAGAAUAAAAACUGUAAACUGUCAGUGGCCUUGCAGAAGAACAGAUGAGUGAACUAAGAGAAAACCGAACGAAAGCUAACAAACCCCGAAAAAUAAAAUAAAAAUAAAAAGGUAGGCACCUCUGAAUGAGCCCUAGAAGCCAAGGCUCGGUCUGAUGUCAUGUCCUUCACCCUCCGUUGCUCAGAUUUGGGAGAGCUGAAGUCCUUCUACCCCAAUCUAUGGCCACAGGUCUGCAAAAUACUUUUUUUUUGCUGCAUUUUUUUUUUUAUACAUAUGAUUUUUUUUUGAUUUUUUUUAAAGUUUAUAGUCUGAAAAAUGGUGCAAUACUCAAUUAUGAUCCAUACUUUCUUGGAUUAUUCCACAAUGAAAGCCACUAAGGUAGAUAAACAUUACAUUUUCUUUUUAAAAACACACUUAUUUUUAGUCCUUGAGUAAACAUUUACACAUGAACUGUCCCCCCAGAUACCUCUUCCCCCCUCCCCUCAGUACUUGUAUCAUGUUGUUCAUAUAGCUGGAUGAGGGGUGAGGCUGACACUCAGUGCAACGCUAGAGGCUAGUAACAAUUAACAUCAGAAUAUAGUAUUUGACAAGCAAAAAGAAAACAACAACAACAAAAAUGAUACUGAACUGAAGAGAAACGUGAGGCAGAGAUCCCUCCGCUGUAAUCACGAGCUCUCACGCAUCGUUUCACCUCGCAGACAUUCAUUCACAACGUACAGUACAAGCAGCCUUGUGCAAACACUCAAAUACGACUGAUGUAAAUUUGCCUUUUUUAAAAAAAAAAAAAAAAAAAAAUCUUUUUAAAACCGAUCUUUGUUUUUUUUUUUUUCACUCUGAACUGAUGCUUAAAAAUAAAAUAAAAUAAAACUCCAAAGUGAAUGAAUGAGACAAGAAAAAGAAAAACACUACAAAAAAAAAAAAAAAAAGUGUUCACAUUACAUUAUUGGCGCUUCUUUUGAUUCAAGUAUUUGUUUUCAUUAUUUUGUAUUACUCUGAUAUGUUUAUGAUCUUGUCUUCUGGGAAACAUUGAUGUUGGAUACAGAGGGUAAGGAGCUGAUGCCAGGGCAGAGGGCGGGGAGGUAAGGGUAAGGGUGUGGGUGGGUGGGGCGUUAGGCUUAAGUGGAAAACAGAAAUCUAGCCAUAGACACACAUACACCCACAAAUGUACGCUUGGUUGUAUCCUGUGUAUGAGCUAGCAUGUGCAUAUUCAACCCAGACCUUUGUUUUUAGAGAUUUGCUAAUUCAGCUCUUUUUGCCCCCAGAUCCUCGACUGAUCCACGACUGAGAAGUAGAUUUUACUCGAGCUCCAGUUGCCUUUGAGUCCGUGUGACUUAAAAUAACAAUAAUAAAUCGUAAAAAAAUCAGAGGGGGGAGGGGAGGAUGUGAUUUCCAACACUAGACCGGUAGAUAAGAGUGCAGACGAAGGCGUGGGAGAGGGUGGGGCUUCUCAGUGCUGGUGAAAUCCCAGGGCACGUCUGAGACUGUCCUGGUCACCCAUCCCUCCCACUCGGUUCAACUUCCCCCUCCUCCCGUUGAUUCAAGUCCAGUGUGGAGCAAAAUGCAGGUUUUUCAGGAACAAUCGCACAAAAACAGACAGCACAGGCAAUAGUGAUUGUUUCGUUGAAUGAUGAGAGUCUAAAGUGACUCUGGAAGAGGGUCAAAAACCACCCCGCAAAGAGUUUUAAGACUUGGUACCGAACUUGAGGUGCGUCUCUUGUUUCUGCUGAUACGUCAGAUCCCCGCUUGGACCCCCAAAGUCAAAUGUGCAGACAUGACCUGUUUUCUAUAUAUUCAUAUAUAUGCGUGUAUACUGGCUGGCACAACCUUCAGGUUUGGAGGUCCAGAGUGAACCUCCAGGAUACAGCUUCUCCCAGGCGUGGCUCGGAGAAACGAGCCCAGAGAGGGUGAGAAGGCGGCAGCUUGCAGAGAAACAGAAAUCAGGCGUCUCGGCCUCAGAGUGCACAGCUGAAACAGACUGUGGUUUUUUUUGUAGUUUCUAGUUUUUGCAAAAACCUUGAUGAUAAAGGAAAAAAGAGAAAGAAAGAUAAUGUUUUUGGUUUUUAAAGAGAUGUACCCGAUGUGACCCAUAAACAGUGCACAGACACAUACAGGGACGCUCCCUCCUCCUCCUCCUACUGGUGAGUGACCAGCUCCACUCAUCUGGCUUAAGCCUCCCACAGCUCCCACAGCCCUGCAGCGAUAACAUACACUCAUUGUUGCUAAGGAUAAAUCAGGAUGUGGCCAAAAGUGGAUGUAGACUUUUAGAAAUCUGUUGGCACAAAAACUCAACUUGGUGCCUCCAGCAGGUCAUUUAGUGUCAUCUAACAGCUCUGUCCACUACACGCCCCGCCCCCACCCUUUAUUUUUUUCUAUUCUGAAGAGAGGCUCCAUCAGUGUCCCCUACAUUUGAAUCCAGGUGAGGUUUCAAGAGAAGCUGCCCGGUAAUAAAGGUUGAAAGGGUUAAGUGGAAAAUUGGCGGAUGAAGGGGAUGGCUGUGAGCGAACACCUCCUUGUCUUUGCAUAGAAAUGGAAGGCUGUCAUCAAGUUGAGGUGGUUCUAAGUGAUAACUGGGUGCUCCCAGAGUUAAAGCACCAGCGUGAGCGAGGCCCAUCAACACUAAAAACGAUGGGUGUGUUACGACACAGCGCAGUGGACGCUCGGUCACCCCAGGAUGGACAGAAGAAGUUGGCUUGUCAUCCUGGAGAACCUUAAACUACACCCCCCUCCUUUUCAUCCUGAUUUGACUCCUCAAUUCUGAACCCCCUCCCUCCCUCCCUCAGUGAUUCACGCGGCUGAGGCGUACCUCUAAACUACACGCUGGUUCUGCCUUGGAGGCAGCGGCGGUGGGAGGGACAGGAAAGAAGAUGAACACUGCAUAAAAACCAUGAAAUCAUCAAAUAUAACAAUCGUUCAUGAUAACAGCAACAAUAUCAGCAAACUUCUCACAACAAAACAAAAUUAAAAUGCACACCAGCAACUCCAAUAAAAAAAAAAAAAAAGAAAAAAAGAAGAAGGGGAAAAUACAAUAAAACAAAACAUCAGUCGACUCCGUCUCCGGAUAAAGUGAUCCUUGCAGGAGAGAGACGGGAGGAGAGAGUGGAAGUGGAGGUUGCUGACAGACUCUGGUGUAGCAGUAGUAGUAGUGAGUAGUAGAUUCAAUACAAGGUGGCGGGCCAGUUCUGAAGGAGCUGCUCUUGGGAGGAAAAGGAGAAGGAAGAGGAGGGAAGCUAGUCUGUAAGGGUCUGCAGGGAGGCAGCGAGCGAGCGUGGGAGAUGGAGGGAGGGGGCGAGGGCUGCUGCAGCACUGCACUCUGCAGCAGGCAGGCACUCAGUGGCCACACUAUCACACAGGUUGGCAGGACCUCCAACAACAAAAACAAUCCAAAAGCGGGGGUGGGGGCGAUCCUCCCUGCUGAACCCAGUAGAACAUGAACACGUCGAGUGUUUCCAGACACCAAGGAUAAAGAUUUCAAAAGCUGCAAUGUAACAGUGAUAUCUACUUUGAUAGCAGAGGGGUGGAGUUCUCUGAGGUCUUUUCCUGCCACCACCCAUCAUCGCUUGACUUAGUUCUUCUUUGUGUUUCCCUUCACUUUGCUACGGUUUGACAUCCUUUCUGGUCCCGCUGACUCGAGGGAAGAAGGACUCCAAAAAAUAAAAUAAAAUAAAAUAAAAUUGGGGAAAAAAUAAAAAUAAAUUCACAUCCACGUCAAGUUCAAAAAUAAGUAUACAGAGAAGCCACUAAGCAGAUUGCUUUUUUUGUCUUUUCAAUUUUUAUUUGCCAGUGUUGCUUCUCCUUUCUUCUGUUCGUUGGCAUUGAGGGUAUGAGGAGUAGCCGUGCUCUUGCUAUGUGCUGUGAUAAGACCACCAACUCACACAAAUCGUUGAUUCAGACAUUUCUUGAAAUGCAAAUGUGGGUAAAAUGGAGGGAAGGGGAGUCAUCUGGUCUUCUUGUUUUGGUUUGACGCCAUCACCCUGUCAUGCACGCACGCACGCACACACACACACACACGCACACACACACAUGCACGCACACCUGCCUGUCCUUCUCCCCAAAAAUCAGUCACAAGCAUAAUCGUGGAGAGUCGGGUGGUGUGUGCGUCCUUGUGUUUAGACAGAAGGCCAGCGUGCUACUCUCCUGACACCCUGCUGGGGGAGACAAAGGGAAGCUAUAGUGGCAGGGUUUUUUUUGUUUGUUUGUUUUUUGUUUUGCAAUGAGGAGAUGAGGGCCGGUACAGGCGGGUGGAUGGGUGGGUGGUGAAGUUGGCGGGCAGACCGAUCAAGUGUUUGCAGUUCAUUCGUUACAGUCUCCUCUAUUAAUCCCGCGAGUAGGGGUGCUUGGACGGUGAGAGUCUGUGGCUAUAAUAUUGCACGUCGCUUGAAAUGGUUGCUUUGCAGGCGGAGUGGGCGCGCACGGUAGAGGGGGCGAGGCAGAGGCAGGGAACGACUUAAGUUUUUUUUUCUCCUCCUCCACAGCAUCAGUGACUGGGUCUGAGAGACUGAGACCAAACUGCGAGGUGUCUCCCCGCAAGUGAGUUGAGGUGCAUCGAAGUGUUUCAUCUUUACAGUUCCAUAGUAAUAGCAGUGGUUCAUCACUGUCGCCCAUCUUAACUGUACAUGCGACGACCCCACCCACCCCGUCCCUCGACACCACCACAUAAGAUUGACAGACACAUUUUGAAUAAUAUCAUUUCUUAGCUUUGUUUGCAAUGGUUCAAGAAGAGAAAUUAAAAAUAAAACUACAAAAAUAAAUGGCUUGAACAAGGCGAACAGAGUUGCAUCAUUCCCUUUGAGCGCUGUGAGGGGAACUCAAUCUGCUUUUAAACAAACAAACAAAACUAAACAAAACAAUGCACUGAAGUCGCGAGCUGUGGUUGCUUAAGCGGUUGUUAAGCCGCAGCAGCAUGUACUCUCCACUCAGGUUUCACUGGCUCAGAAAUAAGGGUGUGCAGGUGUCCGUAUGCUUCUUCACCAAGUACAGAGUGAGUGAGGAUAGCAGGGCAGGAAAUAGUUUAAGGCUAAUUAUUAGUGCUGAGAGAAACAAAUGUGGAGUCUGGACCAGCUGAAAGUUCAACAACCACUCUGAUUGAAGGGUUUUUUAAACUUUGGGAAUGACGCCUUUUUGUUUUCCAUGGAUCUCUGAGGUGCAGUAUGAU